AUUGAACGCUGGCGGCAGGCCUAACACAUGCAAGUCGAACGGUAACAGGAGACAGCUUGCUGUUUCGCUGACGAGUGGCGGACGGGUGAGUAAUGUCUGGGAAACUGCCUGAUGGAGGGGGAUAACUACUGGAAACGGUAGCUAAUACCGCAUAACGUCGCAAGACCAAAGAGGGGGACCUUCGGGCCUCUUGCCAUCGGAUGUGCCCAGAUGGGAUUAGCUAGUAGGUGGGGUAACGGCUCACCUAGGCGACGAUCCCUAGCUGGUCUGAGAGGAUGACCAGCCACACUGGAACUGAGACACGGUCCAGACUCCUACGGGAGGCAGCAGUGGGGAAUAUUGCACAAUGGGCGCAAGCCUGAUGCAGCCAUGCCGCGUGUAUGAAGAAGGCCUUCGGGUUGUAAAGUACUUUCAGCGGGGAUGAAGGGAGUAAAGUUAAUACCUUUGCUCAUUGACGUUACCCGCAGAAGAAGCACCGGCUAACUCCGUG
rnacentral:rRNA from 1 species